rnacentral:lncRNA from 1 species
CUCUUGACUCGACGAGGUCCUCGUGGAAGAAUCGCGGGGCCACCCCGACUCCACUCGCCGAGUCUGAUGAACAACUCGGCGAGUCCCAGCACAUCUUCAAGCUACUCGCCGAGUCUGAAGAACAACUCGGCGAGUCCAUGCCAUGCAGACGAGUAACUGCUUCCUGGGAUAGGUCUCGUCCCGAAGUACACAUGCAUGGGACCUUCUGGACCUCUAAAGGUCCUAAUACAAGACUAUAAUCGUGGGGUAACAAGGCAUUACUUCAUCAAAUCACUAAAUGGGUUCUAUAAACCCUAAUUUCAUAAAUACAUCAAAAUAACAGAUUUGGUCCGAGUAUUACCUGAAAACGCACUCUCUGUGUCCCCCAAAUCUCAGGACUCAAUCCUCCUUGAUAUUCCUUUAGCCAAAUCCCUCUUCUUCUUGCCUAACCAAUUCUUCCAAGUUCCAAAGCUUUCUCCCUUGCUCUAGGCGUCCACAGCGAUUAGGGUUCCUCUCAAUUGACCAAAAGACUGAAAAUGACGGCCUAAGAGGCGUUAAAUACGAUCCAAACUGAACGGUUAGGGUUUCUGCUGAACAGCGUCGACUCGCCGAGUCCAUAUCUGGACUCGUCGAGUCCAGUCGCGGACCCGCGACCAAGUCCGCGAUCCUACUCGGCGAGUCUAGGCUCCAACUCGCCGAGUCCCCUCUUAAAUCACCCCAAAAACAUAAUUUUAAUAAUACCUGAGAUUCCGGGCUGUUACAAUUCUCCCCCACUUGGAUUAGACUUCGCCCUCGAAGUCUCAUUCUGCAAAUAGUUCCGGAUGCUGCUCCCGCAUUUCGCGCUCCGGUUCCCAAGUCAUUUCUGAUCCCUUACGGUGUUGCCAUUGAACCAACACCAGAGGUACUUCCUUGUUCCUCAGAACCUUGAUCUUCCGAUCCCUGAUAGCCACUGGUCUCUCCGCGUAAUUCAGGCUCGCAUCCACCUGAAUAUCCUCCAAUGGAACCACUGCCGACUCAUCGGCUAUGCACUUCCUCAACUGCGACACAUGAAAAGUGUCAUGGAUCUGACCCAACUCCGCUGGCAACUCCAACCGAUAGGCUACCCGACCUAUCCUUGCAAUCACACGAAAUGGCCCAAUAUACCGGGGCCCCAACUUGCCUCUCUUCCUGAACCGAAUCACUCCUUUCCAAGGAGAGACCUUCAGGAGAACGAAGUCGCCGACCUGAAAUUCAAGCUCGGAUCGGCGCCUGUCUGCAUAACUCUUCUGUCGGCUCUGGGCAGUCAAUAACCUUUGUCUCACUCGCUGAAUCUGCUCUGUCGUCUGGAGCACGAUCUCCGUGCUGCCCAUCACUCUCUGUCCCACCUCUCCCCAGCAAAUGGGGGUCCGACACCUCCUACCAUACAACAGCUCGAAAGGUGGCAUACCAAUGCUCGAAUGAUGGCUGUUGUUGUAGGAAAACUCUGCCAAUGGUAAAUACGCAUCCCAACUACCCCCGAAGUCUAACACACACGCUCGGAGCAUGUCCUCCAGCGUCUGAAUUGUCCGCUCGCUCUGACCGUCUGUCUGGGGAUGGUAUGCGGUACUAAAAUGCAAUUUAGUACCCAGCUCCUCAUGGAAUUUCUUCCAGAAUCUGGAAGUAAAGCGCACAUCACGGUCUGACACAAUCGAGAUCGGCACCCCGUGCCGAGAUACCACCUCUCUCACGUAUAUCUCCGCCAAUUUCUCCGCCGAAGAACUCUCACUGAUGGCAAGGAAGUGUGCACUCUUUGUCAACCUAUCCACGAUCACCCAAAUUGCGUCAACUCCCCUAGCAGUCCUCGGCAAUUUGGUGAUAAAAUCCAUAGUAAUCUGUUCCCACUUCCACUCGGGGAUCUCCAAUGGCUGUAACUUGCCAUGCGGUCUCUGGUGCUCAGCCUUAACCCUACGGCAGGUCAAGCACCUCUCAACGAACCAUGCCACGUCCCUCUUCAUACAGGGCCACCAAUAUUCCUUCCUUAAAUCCAAAUACAUCUUUGUAGCACCGGGAUGGAUCGAGAAUUUCGAUCUAUGAGCCUCUUCCAUCAACGUAAUACGCGUACCGCCCACGAACGGUACCCAAAUCCGACCCUGAAACGUCAUAAGGCCUCGACUAUCCUUGACAAACUCUGAGAUUAACCCCACAACCCGCUCUUUCUUCUGCAUUUCUGGUCGCACAGCCUCUGCCUGGGCCCCACGAAUAGCGUCCAAUACUGGAGUCAUCACAGUCAGUCUCAAGCAUACGUCUCGCAAUGGAGUGCUCUCCGCCCUGCGACUCAAUGCAUCGGCUACCACAUUAGCCUUGCCUGGGUGGUACAGGAUCUCACAAUCAUAAUCCUUGACCACAUCCAACCACCUCCUCUGACGCAUAUUUAGGUUGGGUUGAUCCAUCAAAUACUUCAAACUCUUAUGGUCCGUGUAUAUCGUACAUCGAACCCCAUACAAGUAGUGACGCCAAAUCUUGAGAGCGAACACUACUGCCCCCAACUCUAAAUCAUGCGUGGGAUAUCUCGCCUCAUGAGGCUUCAGCUGCCUCGACGCAUAAGCUAUCACAUGACCCCUCUGCAUUAACACUGCACCCAAUCCCGAAAUCGAUGCGUCGCAAUAUACCACGAAAUCUUCCAUCCCUUCUGGAAGAGCUAAUACCGGGGCUUCGCACAAUCUUUGGCGAAGUGUCUCAAAGGAGGUCUGCUGCUCGGGCCCCCAUGAGAACGUAACACCCUUCCGGGUCAAUCUGGUGAGUGGCACUGCGAUCUUGGAGAAAUCCUUGAUAAAUCUCCGAUAAUACCCUGCCAACCCAAGGAAACUUCUGAUCUCAGAGGGUGACUUCGGCACCUCCCAACUCAUCACCGCCUCAACCUUGGCCGGAUCGACCAAUAUCCCUUUCUGAUUAACCACAUGUCCUAGAAACUGGACCUCCCGCAACCAGAAGUCACAUUUGGAGAACUUUGCAUAAAGUUUCUCCGACCUCAAUACCUCAAGGACCUCCCUCAAAUGCUCCUCAUGCUGCUCUCUCGAUCUCGAAUACACCAGAAUGUCGUCGAUAAAUACGAUCACCGACCGAUCCAACAUCGGCCUGCAUACCCUGUUCAUGAGAUCCAUGAACACAGCCGGGGCAUUGGUGAGUCCAAAAGGCAUCACCACAAACUCAUAAUGUCCAUAUCGCGUCCUAAACGCUGUCUUCUGGACGUCUUCAUCCCGUACUCUCACCUGAUGGUAUCCUGACCUCAGAUCGAUCUUGGAAAACCAAGAUGCUCCCUGCAACUGAUCGAAUAAAUCAUCGAUCCUCGGCAACGGGUAACGGUUCUUGACCGUUAGCUUGUUCAACUCCCGGUAAUCAAUGCACAUCCGGUGUGAACCAUCCUUCUUUUUGACGAACAGAAUAGGUGCUCCCCAUGGCGAGCUGCUCGGCCGAAUGAAUCCCUUUCCCAGCAACUCCUGGAGUUGCGAAGACAACUCUUGCAUCUCUGGAGGUGCAAGACGAUAGGGCACUUUAGCAAUAGGCGCUGCCCCCGGAACCAGAUCAAUACUAAACUCUACUUGCCUCACAGGCGGUACUCCCGGCAACUCCUCGGGAAAGACAUCUGAAAAUUCGCGCACCACCGGAACUUCCUCAACUGACUUCGGUUUCUCGGAAACCUCCCGCGUAUCCAUCACAUACGCCACAAAACCCUUACAGCCCUGCUGUAGACACUGCCUCGCCCUAGCGGCCGAACAAAAAGCUGAUCCCGAACGGGUACCCUCGCCGUACACCGAAAGAACUCCCCCUCUAGGGUCUCGUAUAGUCACCAACUGACGCUCACAGUCGAUGACAGCGCCGAACCGGCUCAGCCAGUCCAUGCCCACGAUGACACAGACAUCCCCCAUCGCGAUAGGAAUCAGAUCAAUUGGGAAUCCAAUCCCGAAAAUCUCUAGUACACAUCCCCGAAGAACCUCCGUAGCACAAAUCACCUUCUCGUCAGCUAUAGAAACUCUCAAAGGUCGACUCAACGACUCACGACUAACGCCGAUAUGCUGACUAAAGGCUAAGGACACAAAGGACCUACUCGCACCCGAGUCAAAUAACACUAAGGCAGGCACAGAGUUCACAAGGAAAGUACCUACGCGCAUAAUAACAUAAGCAUAACAUAUCGACAUUAAAAUAAAUACAUGAAUUACAACAUACCUGCCACAACAUCGGGCGCAGCGCGGACCUCCUCCGCAGUCAGCUGAAAGGCUCUCCCACGAGCCCUCGGGGCCUCGACCUUCACCGGUCGAGUCUCAGUAGUCCUGGCAACAGGUGCAGAUCCCUGACGAAGCUGAGGGCACUCGGCCUUCCGAUGGCCGGUCUGGUUGCAAUGAAAGCAAACCAUAAAUCCCUUGGGACACUCCCUAGCAAUGUGUCCCUCCUUGCCACACUUGUAGCAAGCACCGGCUCGACACGCCCCAUCGUGACCCUUACCGCACUUUACGCAAGUGCGGUUCUUCGAACCUCCCGUCCUCGAAUCGGCGGACUUGAUCCGCUUGGCUGCCGGCUGAGACUGAGCCGGCCGCCGGUCUGCCUGCUGAGACUCGGCCUCCUCCCUGGCCUGAGUCUCUAACUCGAUCUCACGCUUCCUGGCAUUCGCCUGAAGCUCAGUAAAAGUAUGGUAAGUGGAGUUUGACACAAACUCCCGGAUCUCCCUCCUCAGAACACCCAAGUACCGGCUCAUCCGAGCCUGCUCUGUGGCCACCAGCUCGGGGCAAAACAUCGCCCUCUCAUGGAACUUCCGCGUGAUCGCCGCCACCGAAUCAGUACCCUGCUUGAGGGUUAAGAACUCCUGAACCAAUCGUUCCCGCUCCACCGGGGGAACGUACUCCUCCCUGAACAUGGUAGUGAACCCCUCCCAUGUCACUGCCGCAGUCUCUGCCAAAGUGAAGUUCGCCGUCACGAACUUCCACCAGUCCUUUGCUCCCAGACGGAGCUGGUUCAAAGCGAACCGUACCCUCAGGUGCUCCGGGCAUGAACAAGUGUAGAAGCACCCCUCUAUAUCUGCGAUCCACCUCAUCGCAGCAAUCGGAUCCUGCGUCCCAUCGAACUCUGGUGGCUUCGUGUUGCUGAACUCUCGGAACAGCAAUGAAUCACCCCCCUGUGGCCUAGCAGCGGCCACAGCUGCGGUAGCUGCAGCGGUUGCAGCCUCAGUCAAUGCGGCGUACCGCUCGUCGAACGUCUCCAUCAGGGUGGUCUUGAUAGACCCAAACAUCUCCGGGAUCUCAGCCCGGAUCGCCGCCGCCACCUCCUCGUGGAUCAUCUGACGAAUAUCCUCGUCACUCACACCGCUCGUACUUGCCCCGUGCCGCGGUCUAACCAUGAUAUCUCUGAAAUACAACAUAAAACUAUCAGAGAUUCUACCGAGUAUAAUCGUACUCGACACGCAACCCUACUCAGUCCCAGAUAUCCAGGGAUUCUUACUUGGGCCUCCCACUGACCCGGUGUCCUCGGUAGUACGGGCCCAAUACUACCGACCACACCGCAUCAAUGUUCAUCCCAAGUCCUCCUCCCCAAACUCCAGAUAGUGAGUACUCUACUUCUGAUACGCUCUAUCUACCCGCAUACUAGCAAAGCAUCUCAUAUAGGCAACUUCCCUAGACUAAGGCAUCACAAAUCAGGCCACUCUAGUCCUAUCAUGAAUACCUAGUCUUCUAGCAUGCAUAACAAUUCAUAUCAUAUAAUAUUGUAAGGUAUUUUGGGGAUCUUUACCGUUCGGGCGCUGACUGAUCGUACACACUGCUUCUUUCUUGCUUACCACAAAACCAUUUACAAAAGUUUAUGCCUUUAUUUGAAAAGUUUCCUCAAAUCCUCGGUUUGAGUUCAGUUACCCCCGAAGGUGCACCCGAAUCCCUCAAACCAAGGCUCUGAUACCAAUUGUAACAACUCAAAUUUUUCAAACAAAUUUUUCAUUUUUAAAACAUAAUUAUUUCCAUUAAAAACAAGGCAUAAACAGUUUAAUUAUUCGGUCAAUACAAUUAUUCAAACUCCCAAGAUCAUAAAACAAUCUUCAGUGUGUAUCGAUCAUGCCGGCGCCUUCCCACGGUCCUCGCUAGUACCUGAAAUACAUGCACAACAACUGUAAGCAUAAAUGCUUAGUGAGUUCCCCAAUAUACAACUUACGCACAUACGCCUUUCCAGGCCCGACCUUCCGGUCCAUGUGUCUCAGGGGACUUCCGUCCCUGCUGGGUAAACCUUCCGGCCUUACCCACGCCGACCUUCCGGUCCAUCACACAUCAUAUCGCCUUCCGGCCCAUAACAUAAUCGCCUUCCGGCCCAUAACAUACAUAGCACAUAUAACAUAUAACAUACCACAUAUAGCAUACAUAUCACAUAUCAUAUCCGACCUUCCGGUCACACAGUCAAACCCUUCCGGGUACAGUAUAGUGAGAAGACUCACCUCGUAAGUGCUGAAAGCUAGCAACUCCUGAAAUCACUCGCGCACAAACCAACGAGCUACAACCCUCCUAUAACAUUACAUAACUCAUUAACACUCAUAUCAUCUAAGUGUGACUAUCCCUAAGAAGUCAGACUUAGGUCAACUCUGGUCAACGGUCAACGGUCAACUCGACUGGACUCGGCGAGUACCAUGGCGACUCGGCGAGUCUAGUCGUCCUCACAAAUUCCUGAAUAUUCCCUUUCUACUCGUCGAGUAUCCCUCUUGACUCGACGAGGUCCUCGUGGAAGAAUCGCGGGGCCACCCCGACUCCACUCGCCGAGUCUGAUGAACAACUCGGCGAGUCCCAGCAAAUCUUCAAGCUACUCGCCGAGUCUGAAGAACAACUCGGCGAGUCCAUGCCAUGCAGACGAGUAACUGCUUCCUGGGAUAGGUCUCGUCCCGAAGUACACAUGCAUGGGACCUUCUGGACCUCUAAAGGUCCUAAUACAAGACUAUAAUCGUGGGGGUAACAAGGCAUUUCUUCAUCAAAUCACUAAAUGGGUUCUAUAAACCCUAAUUUCAUAAAUACAUCAAAAUAACAGAUUUGGUCCGAGUAUUACCUGAAAACGCACUCUCUGUGUCCCCCAAAUCUCAGGACUCAAUCCUCCUUGCUAUUCCUUUAGCCAAAUCCCUCUUCUUCUUGCCUAACCAAUUCUUCCAAGUUCCAAAGCUUUCUCCCUUGCUCUAGGCGUCCACAGCGAUUAGGGUUCCUCUCAAUUGACCAAAAGACUG